rnacentral:rRNA from 1 species
GAUGAACGCUGGCGGCGUGCCUAAUACAUGCAAGUCGAACGCUGAAGGAAGGAGCUUGCUCUUUCCGGAUGAGUCGCGAACGGGUGAGUAACGCGUAUGUAACCUCCCUGGUAGCGGGGGAUAACUAUUGGAAACGAUAGCUAAUACCGCAUAACAGUAGAUUUUGCAGGAUAUCUACUUAAAAGGUGCAAUUUCACCACUACCAGAUGGACCUGCGUUGUAUUAGCUAGUUGGUGAGGUAACGGCUCACCAAGGCGACGAUACAUAGCCGACCUGAGAGGGUGGUCCGCCCACCUGGGACUGGGACCCGGCACAGACUCCUUAGGGAGGGAGCAGUAGGGAAUCUUCGGGCAUGGACGGAAGUCUGGACGGGCAACGCCGCGGGAGUGAAGAAGGGUUUCGGGUCGGAAAGAUCGGUUGUAAGGGAAGAAAGAGUGUGAGAGUGGAAAGUUCACGCUGUGACGGUAUCUUAUCAGAAAGCGACGGCUAACUACGUG